rnacentral:rRNA from 1 species
CCAAUAGCGUAUAUUAAAGUUGUUGCAGUUAAAAAGCUCGUAGUUGAAUUUCGGGAUCAAUAGGUUGGUCGUGCCUUGGUACGUAAUAGUUUAUUGGUUUCUUUCUUCUGACGAACCAUGAUGGCAUUAAUUUGGUGUCUUGGGGAAUCAGGCCUGUUACUUUGAAAAAAUUAGAGUGUUUAAAGCAGGCUCACGCUUGAAUACAUUAGCAUGGAAUAAUGAAAAAGGGCGUUUGAUUCUAUUUUGUUGGUUUCUAGGAUCGACGUAAUGAUUAAUAGGGAUAGUUGGGGGCAUUAGUAUUCAAUUGUCAGAGGUGAAAUUCUUGGAUUUAUUGAAGACUAACUACUGCGAAAGCAUUUGCCAAGGAUGUUUUCAUUAAUCAAGAACGAAAGUUAGGGGAUCGAAGACGAUCAGAUACCGUCGUAGUCUUAACCAUAAACUAUGCCGACUAGGGAUCGGAUGAUGUUAAUUUUUUAAUGACUCAUUCGGCGCCUUACG